CAUGUUGAAACACUGGUUCUCGUAUAAUCACCAAAGUUAAGCAAUGUCAAGUCUGGUCAGUACCUAGAUGGGUGACAGCUUAGGAAUACCAGGUGCUGUAA